rnacentral:rRNA from 1 species
AUGGCCUCUCAGGGAGCGACCACGGCGGCGUGGACCAACGAGGAGGACAAGGCGUUCGAGAACGCGGUCGCAUCCGGUGCACCGCCGCCGCUGGACGGCGUGCCGGAGGAGUGCUGGUUCGCGGCGCUCGCGGCGAGCGUGCCGGCGCGGUCGACGGAGGAGGUGCGGCGACACUACGAGGCCCUGGUGGAGGACGUCGGCGCGAUCGACGCCGGCCGCGUCCCUCUCCCGCGCUACGCCGGGGAGGACUCUUCCGCCGCGGCGGCCGCAGCGGCGCCUAGCAAGGACCGGCGCGAGGACCGGAAGAGCUUCGACUCCGACUCCGGGAAGGGCUGCUCCAAGGCGGAGCAGGAGCGGCGCAAGGGCAUCCCCUGGACUGAGGAGGAGCACAGGCUGUUCUUGCUGGGGCUGGACAAGUUCGGCAAGGGCGACUGGCGGAGCAUCUCGCGCAACUUCGUCAUCUCCCGGACGCCCACGCAGGUGGCCAGCCACGCGCAGAAGUACUUCAUCCGCCUCAACUCCAUGAACCGGGACCGCCGCCGCUCCAGCAUCCACGACAUCACCAGCAUCAACAACGCCGCCCAGGCCGUGCCGCCCAUCACCGGCCAGGCCCCCGCCGCGCUGGGGGGGCCGCCCGGGGGCAUGAUGAAGCAUCCCGGGAUGGUGGGCAUGUACGGAGGGGCGCCCAUGGGCCACCCGGUCGCCGGCCACAUGGUCCCCGCCGCCGUCGGCACGCCGGUCAUGUUCCCGCCGGGGCCGGGCCACCCGCCCUACGCCAUGCCCGUCGGCUACCCGGCUCCGCAUCAGUGA